UCAUACUGUUGGAAAGUUGUGUUGUACUAGAAGAAUACGUUAUCGUAUCUUGUGAAAUUUGGCUUGAAAAUGCUUCAAGUACUUGCUUAUAGAAGAUAAAGGAAAAUUGCAACAACAAGUCUUAAAAAUUUUAAUAGAUUCUUAAAUAAAUUAUAAUUAAAAAUUAGCAAAUAUAAUCAAAUAUUAAUCAAAUUUAAUUAAAAUUUCAAAAGAAUUAUAUAAGAAACACAAAGAAUUUCUAGAGAUGAUUUAAAGAAAUCACAAAAAAAUAAUAUAGAAAUUUAAAAAUAAAUAUAUUAAAAUAUCUAAUCGAACCUUGAUCAAACCUUAAUCAAACCUAAAUCAAAUCUUAGUCAAAUUUUAAUCAAACUUUAGUCAAAUUCUAAAUAAGCCUUAACAAAAACCUAAACAAAUCCUACUCAAAUCCUACUCAAAUCCUAAUAAAAUCUUAAUGAAAUCCUAAUAAAAUUCUAAAAAAAUUCUAAUCAAAUCUUAACAAAAUUUCAAUCAAAUCUUAAAUAAAUCCUAGUAAUAUCCUAAGUAAAUCCUAAUCAAAUUCUAAAUAAAUCCAAGUCAAAUCUAGACAAAUCUUAAAUAAGUCCUAAUCAAAUCCUAAACAAAUCCUAGUCAAAUCUUAAUCAAAUCCUAAUCAUAUCCUAAAUAAAUUCUAAUCAAAUGCUAAAUAAAUCCUACUCAAA
rnacentral:lncRNA from 1 species